rnacentral:rRNA from 1 species
UACGGGGGGGGCAAGCGUUGUUCGGAAUUACUGGGCGUAAAGGGUUCGUAGGUGGCCAACUAAGUCAGACGUGAAAUCCCUCAGCUUAACUGGGGAACUGCGUCUGAGACUGGAUGGCUUGAGUGCAGGAGAGGAACGCGGAAUUCCAGGUGUAGCGGUGAAAUGCGUAGAUAUCUGGAGGAACACCGGUGGCGAAGGCAAUCCCCUGGGCCUGCACUGACGCUCAUGCACGAAAGCGUGGGGAGCAAACAGG